rnacentral:rRNA from 1 species
UUGUCUUCUAAAUAAAGACUAGUAUGAACGGCUAAAUGAGGAUAAACCUGUCUCUUACAGCCAAUCAGUGAAACUGAUCUUCCAGUACAAAAGCUGGAAUAAAUACAUAAGACGAGAAGACCCUGUGGAGCUUAAAACAACAGCUAACAAGCACUAUAAUUGUCACUAGCCUAAAGUUUUAAGUUGGGGCGACUUCGGAAUAAAACAAAACUUCCGAGCACAGAACCACUGCUUCUCACCAAGGCCAACAAGCCAAAGUAUAAGCCGACCCAGUCAUACUGACCAACGAACCAAGUUACCCCAGGGAUAACAGCGCUAUCUUCUUCAAGAGUCCCUAUCGACAAGAAGGUUUACGACCUCGAUGUUGGAUCAGGACACCCAGAUGGUGCAGCCGCUAUCAAAGGUUCGUUUGUUCAACGAUU